rnacentral:rRNA from 1 species
UACGUAGGGGGCUAGCGUUGUCCGGAAUCAUUGGGCGUAAAGCGCGUGUAGGCGGUCCGGUAAGUCCGCUGUGAAAGUCGGGGGCUCAACCCUCGAAUGCCGGUGGAUACUGUCGGGCUAGAGUGCGAAAGAGGCGAGUGGAAUUCCUGGUGUAGCGGUGAAAUGCGCAGAUAUCGGGAGGAACACCUAUGGCGAAGGCAGCUCGCUGGGACGUUACUGACGCUGAGACGCGAAAGCGUGGGGAGCAAACAGG